AGAGUUUGAUCCUGGCUCAGAAUGAACGUUGGCGGCGUGGAUUAGGCAUGCAAGUCGCACGGGCCGCAAGGCCAGUGGCGGAAGGGUGAGUAAGGCGACGGUAACCAACCCCAUGGUCGGGUAUAGCCGCGGGAAACUGCGGGUAAUCCCCAGCGACGUCCGGAGCGGGCAUCCGCACCGGACCAAAGUCCUGGCGCCGU
rnacentral:rRNA from 1 species